rnacentral:rRNA from 1 species
UGUUGUGAAGUGUAAAUGAGGUCUACUACCUAAAAUAAAACUUUUAAACAAAGGUACCUUUUGUAUAAGAGUUGUACUACAUAAAUAAAAUAAAUUUUGUUUGCCCGAUAAAAAGGAAUCUAACUGAUUGGGUGGUUUUAAUGUUUCAUAAUUAAAAAUAACUAUCUGUUAAAGGCUAUAUACUAUACUGCCCUUUUUGGUAUCUGGUUUUUUUAUAAAUAUAUUUAGUAUAGCCUUAAUUUUAAGAGUUAGAAAAUGCGAGAUAAGUUGUAUUUUUAAAAAAUUGAGCGGGGUUGAAAAGUUUUACUAAAGUGAGUUUUAUGUUAAUUAUCUAUUAAUUUGUUAUAAAUAAGUUAAUUUUUAUUUUAAAAUUUAUCUAUGCUUCAUACUUUGUAUAAAAAAAUAAAUUACAAGUUUAAUUAUAAUGUAAAAAUAAGUAGAAAAAAUCUUAAACUAUGUUAGGGGUUGUCAUCCUACUUUAAAUAUUUAGUUUUUAUACACUUUUUUUAAUGAACUCGGCAAAUAAAACCGUCGAAUGUUUAACAAAAACAUUUCUUCCUGUAUUUUUAUAUAGAAAGUACUCCCUGCUCAGUGCUAUAAGUAGUAAACAGCUGCAUUAUUCUGAGUGUACAAAGGUAGCGUAAUAAUUAGCCUUUUAAUUAGAGGCAAGUAUGAAAGGGUUUACGGUGGUUUUCUGUGUCAACAAAAGUUAAUUAAAAUUUACCUGCGUGUGAAGAGGCAAGCAUUAUCGUAAAGGACGACAAGACCCUAGAAGCUUGUUCUAAAAAAAAUCAUAAGAAUUUGAUUUUUUAGGAUUUGUUGGGGCAACAUGAAAUCAUGAAUUUCACUAUUUAAAUAUUCUUACUGGAUCUAUCCUCUGUAUGAAUAUGAUAAGCUACUCUAGGGAUAACAGCGUUAUUCUUCUUUAUAGUUCUUAUAGACAGAAGAGAUUGCGACCUCGAUGUUGGAUUAAGGUUUCCGAAAGAUGCAGAAGUCUUUAAGGUUGGUCUGUUCGCCCAUUAAAACCCUUACAUGAUCUGAGUUCAGACCGGCGUGAGCUAGGUCAGUUUCUAUCCUUUUUGAGAUAUAGGUUAAUUUAGUACGAGAGGAGUUUUUAAUCUUCCAAUUUAUAGGGAUUUGUU